rnacentral:rRNA from 1 species
UCUGGCGUCAGGAUGAACGCUGGCGGCGUGCCUAACACAUGCAAGUCGAACGGAGUUACGAGAGCUUGCUUUGUAACUUAGUGGCGGACGGGUGAGUAAUGUAUGAGCAACCUGCCUUCAGAGGGGGACAACAGUUGGAAACGACUGCUAAUACCGCAUAAUGUAUUUUGAGGGCAUCCUCGGGAUACCAAAGGAGCAAUCCGCUGAAAAGAUGGGCUCAUAUCUGAUUAGCUGGUUGGUGGGGUAACGGCCUACCAAGGCUGCGAUCAGUAGCCGGACUGAGAGGUUGAACGGCCACAUUGGGACUGAGAUACGGCCCAGACUCCUACGGGAGGCAGCAGUGGGGAAUAUUGGGCAAUGGGCGAAAGCCUCGACCCAGCAACGCCGCGUGAAGGAAGAAGGUCUUCGGAUUGUAAACUUCUUUUAUGAGGGACGAAGGACGUGACGGUACCUCAUGAAUAAGCCACGGCUAACUACGUGCCAGCCGCUGC